CAGUAGCCGCGGUAAAACGUAGGGUGCAGGCGUUAAUCGGAAUUACUGGGCGUAAAGCGUGCGCAGGCGGUUAUAUAAGUCAGAUGUGAAAUCCCCGGGCUCAACCUGGGAACUGCAUUUGAGACUGUAUGGCUAGAGUGUGUCAGAGUGGGGUAGAAUUCCACGUGUAGCAGUGAAAUGCGUAGAUAUGUGGAGGAAUACCGAUGGCGAAGGCAGCCCCCUGGGAUAACACUGACGCUCAUGCACGAAAGCGUGGGGAGCAAACAGGAUUAGAGACCCCUGUAGUCCCUGUCUCUUAUAC
rnacentral:rRNA from 1 species